rnacentral:rRNA from 1 species
GUAUCACUAAGCGGAGGAAAAGAAACUAAAUAGGAUUCCCCUAGUAACGGCGAGUGAAAAGGGAAGAGCCCAACCUGAUAAUCCAUUACCUCGUGUGGUGGAAUUGUGGGUUAUGGAAGCAGCGUCAGUGUAGAGCCUGGUCUAAGUGUGUUGGAAUGCACUGGCAGAGAGGGUGAGACCCCCGUUCUGGGCUGGGAUUUCUGCAUGUACGACCUGUUUUCCUAGAGUAGGUUUGCUUGAGAGUGCAGACUGAAGUGGGAGGUAAAUUCCUUCCAAGGCUAAAUAUUUGUGAGAGACCGAUAGCGCACAAGUA